GUGCGCUCACCAUCGCUCCAUCUGUCAGGGCGCACCCUUUUAUAGAAGAACAUGGCCUUGCAGAGAAUUAAAAAGAAAAUUUUAUAUUUGAGUGCUAUUUCUUUUGCGGCACCGAAACUUUAUAACAAUUUCAGGGCUCACCCUUGAUUACAUUUCCCCCAGGGGCGGUCUCCGGUUCUCUCUCCUGAGGAGGCGCACCCCGCCCCCUUGUGGUGGCCUCAGGGGUGAGAAAUCAGGACCACCCAGUGCGAGGAAUAACCGGAGCUCUCUGCAACGCUGAAAGAAACUGGCCAGCAACCUAGCUUAAAGGAUCCUCACAUCUGCGGCGAUGACUCUGUGCACAGACCAAGGAAGGAGAAGCCGCCGGAGCCAGUAAAGUACUCCCUUGGUGGUCAAAUUCCGGAGGGCUAAAUGUGUGUGUGCAUGAAUGAUCACAAAUAACCCUACCUGCGGUGUUGUUCAUGUGGAUGGUGACAAGACCUACUGCUGGACAGAGUGAGUGGGACCUCUCCGCAGUUCCGUAGCUACCUCAUAUGGCUUAGGGCGGAUCCUGCCGUGGGAUUUAUACUGGCACACCGACACUAAGAGGGGCCUAAUUCUCCCUUGGGGGAGCAGCCAGAGAGGGCAACACAAGUGGGAAGUGUGCAAGGGACCUUGAGAGGGGGAAAGGGAGGAAACAGGUCAACCUCCCAGAGCAGCAAGGUAAGACAUCCCUGAUUUAAGGGAUUGAGCCUUCCAGGGCAGGCAAAGCGAGACACCCCUGGUUUGAGGGGUUGAGUCUUCUGCAAGUUUCAUGAACCUCACACAAACCUCCAGUAGCAAGAAAAAUAUUCAGGACUCCCCUUGCCUUUCUUCUCAGGGGAAGAAAGAGUAACUCCACUCCUGCCGGUCCCUCCCCUAGGGAAAGGGGAAGGAGAGGGGAGAACAGCGGCAUAAGCGGCUGGCAGAGGCAGAGAAAGAGAGAGUCAAAGAGAGAGACAGAGAGAGAGAGAGAGAAAGAGAGGCAGAGAGAGAGAGAAAGAGAGGCAGAGAGAGAGAG
rnacentral:lncRNA from 10 species